rnacentral:rRNA from 1 species
AUUGAACGCUGGCGGCAGGCCUAACACAUGCAAGUCGAGCGGCAGCGGAAAGUAGCUUGCUACUUUGCCGGCGAGCGGCGGACGGGUGAGUAAUGUCUGGGAAACUGCCUGGUGGAGGGGGAUAACUACUGGACACGGUAGCUAAUACCGCAUAACGUCGCAAGACCAAAGAGGGGGACCUUCGGGCCUCCUGCCAGCAGAUGUGCCCAGAUGGGAUGGGCUAGUAGGUGGGGUAACGGCGCACCUAGGCUACGGUCCCUAGCUGGUCGGGGAGGAUGACCAGCCACACUGGAACUGAGACACGGUCCAGACUCCUACGGGAGGCAGCAGUGGGGAAUAUUGCACAAUGGGCGCAAGCCUGAUGCAGCCAUGCCGCGUGUAUGAAGAAGGCCUUCGGGUUGUAAAGUACUUUCAGCGGGGAGGGAGGCGUUGAGGGUAAUAACCUCAGCGACUGACGUUACCCGCAGAAGAAGCACCGGCUAACUCCGUGCCAGCCGCCGCGGUAA